rnacentral:tRNA from 6 species
GGAGAGGUGGCAGAGUGGUCUAAUGCGCUCGACUUGAAAUCGAGUGAACCGAAAGGUUCCGAGAGUUCGAAUCCCUCCCUCUCCG